rnacentral:sRNA from 1 species
GUCACCUGGGAGCUUUUCUGGGGCUGUCAACUGGAACACCGCAGGAUUUCUCCAUGUGGCCUGGGUUUCCUCACACCAGUGGUGGCUAGGUUCCCAAGUUCGAAAAAGAAAAACAGCAUGAUAUUCGAUCAUUUUUUUUACCACAACCUAAAAAAAGACAGUUGAUGACCUCCUGUGACGAAUCAAAGAGAUUCCAGGAGGAAAAUACUGUAGUGUCAUCAGACCCUACAAAAACAGCUGCAAGAGAUAUCAUCGAUUAUGAAAGUGAUGUUGAACCUGAAACUAAAAGAUUGAAAUUGGCCACCUCAGAAGACCACUGCAGUCCGUCAGAAGAGACACCAUCCCAGUCCAAGCAAAUCAGAACUCCACUCAUGGAAAGUGUCCAGGAGGCCAAGGCCCAGUCAACCACCCCAGCCUUUCCUGUAGAGGGCUGGCCGUGUAGUCUCUGCACCUAUAUCAAUAAUUCAGUGUUACCUUAUUGUGAAAUGUGUGAGACUCCUCAAGGCAGUGCUGUUAUGCAAAUAGAUAGCCUCAACCAUAUCCAGGAUAAAAACGAGAAGGAUGAUUCUCAGAAAGACACCUCCAAAAAGGUUCAAACUAUCUCAGACUGUGAAAAACAAGCCCUUGCACGGUCAGAACCUGGCCAGUUGGCUGACAGCAAGGAAGAAACAUCAAAAAUUGAGAAAGAAGACGGACUUACAUCCCAGCCAGAACAGUUGAAGAGUUCAGACACUUCGCCAGUGUAUGACACCUUAAUGUUUUGUGCAAGUAGGAAUACUGACCGGAUUCACAUCUAUACUAAGGAUGGAAAACAGAUGAGCUGUAAUUUCAUUCCUUUGGAUAUAAAAUUAGACCUUUGGGAAGAUUUACCAGCAAGCUUUCAGCUGAAACAAAAUCGCUCACUGAUUUUGAGAUUUGUUCGAGAAUGGAGUAGUCUAACUGCCAUGAAGCAAAGGAUAAUCAGGAAAAGUGGACAGCUAUUCUGUAGCCCCAUUCUUGCUUUGGAAGAGAUCACAAAGCAACAAACCAAACAAAAUUGCACCAAAAGAUACAUAACCAAAGAAGAUGUUGCCGUAGCCUCAAUGGACAAAGUGAAGAAUGCUGGGGGCCAUGUCCGUCUGAUCACAAAGGAGUCCAGGCCACGGGAUCCUUUCACAAAAAAGCUUCUUGAAGAUGGAGCCUGUGUCCCAUUUCUAAAUCCAUACACAGUCCAGGCAGAUCUCACUGUGAAGCCCUCUACAUCCAAAGGCUAUUUGCAAGCUGUGGAUAAUGAAGGAAAUCCACUUUGCCUUCGCUGUCAGCAACCCACUUGCCAGACUAAGCGAGCGUGUAAAGCGAACUCUUGGGAUUCACGGUUUUGCUCUCUGAAAUGUCAGGAAGAGUUUUGGAUUCGAUCUAAUAACAGUUACCUGCGAGCCAAAGUAUUUGAAACUGAACGUGGUGUGUGUCAACUCUGUAAUGUGAAUGCACAAGAACUCUUUUUACGUCUGAGAGAUGCCCCUAAAAGUCAGAGGAAGAAUCUUCUGGAUGCUACCUGGACUUCAAAGCUCCCAUUAGAACAGCUAAAUGAAAUGAUAAGAAACCCAGGGGAAGGACAUUUCUGGCAGGUGGAUCAUAUCAAGCCAGUGUAUGGGGGAGGAGGACAGUGUUCCCUGGACAACCUGCAGACUCUCUGCACAGUCUGUCACAAAGAGAGAACUGCCAGACAAGCUAAGGAAAGAAGCCAGGUGAGAAGACAAUCUCUAGCAUCAAAGCAUGGAUCAGACAUCACACGAUUUUUGGAAACCUCAAAGCUGCAUGAAUCACACAAGGUAACAGGUGCCGAGCAAGGUCUGCAGGUUUCUGGAUUGCCAGAUAGUGCAGCACCUGAAGGAGGCACAGCACACACAAAUGAUCAGCGCAGGUGUCAAAGGAUGAAGCAGCCACUUACAAAAGUGCAAAUCCUCAGCCACUCGUCUUAAUCCUUAACAAGACAGCACUCCAGGUAGGCAGCCACGACCCCAAAGGCUUCUGGAACCAUACUGAUUUAAGUUUUACUCAGUGGAUAGUUCUAUAGAAUUAAUGAUGAUGUAUGCCAAAAACCUUUCAGUGAUUCUAACUUCAAGCCUGUAAAAAAAGACGAGGCUUCCCAGUGUUUGUGGUGGUGGAUCUGCCUGGUUCUCAAUUACACCCUAAGCGAUCAUACUCAAGAAUAGUACAGAUGUGUGGAAUACGCCAAUACCUUUAACUACAGACAUCAUGUUCUCAAGAUAAAAGCCUUUAAAACAAAAAGCCAUCGUAGGUAUCAAGUCAACAUGAAAUUGGAAUGCAAAAUUAAUGCUGCUGAGGAUUUCCUUCAUAUCCCAUGCUGUUUAUCUCUUCCACAGUCCUAGAAUCAAUCUUUUUAAAUUAAGAGACAGAGUCUGUCUUUGUUACCCAGGCUGGAGUACAGUGGUUCCAUCAAAGCUCAGUGCAGCCUCCAACUCCUGGGCUCAAUCAUCUUGCCUCAGCCUCCUCUUCCUGAGUAGCUGCAACUACAGACACAUGCCCCAAUACUCAGCUAAUUUUUAAAUUUUUGUGGAGAUGA